GCCUGGGUGGCUCAGUUGGUUGAGCAUUGACUUCGGCUCAGGUCAUAAUCUUACAGUUCGUGGGUUCAAGCCCCACGUUGGGCU
rnacentral:tRNA from 1 species